CUUCCUCGGUCUGUGCACAGAGUUGCCUGGUCACUGUGGUGUGUGAGGAUCCUUUCCCCUGGGUCGCCGGCUGGUUUCUUUCGACAUUGCUGAGUCCAGGUUUAUUUGUCACACCAGUAGUUCUGGAGCAAAAGUUCAUGAUGUGGGUCUCCACACACUGUUCUGUCUGUCCAAGUGGGAGCUGCAAUCUGGUCCUGCCUGCCGUCUGCCAUGAUGUUCUUGAAAACCAACAAGUGCUUCUUAAAUGCUGACGUAUCAUUUUCCCAUGUCUGAGCCAACUCAGCAUGAACACAAUGAGGAUGAAGGCAUUUAUGAUGACCCCACUUCCUCUUAAUAAACAGUAAAUAUAUA